rnacentral:lncRNA from 1 species
CGUCGCAUUGUCAGAUGGAGUAUUUUGUCCCUCUAAUCUUCUUUCUUCUGAGAUCAAGUUGCAUGUUGCUUCUACGACACUCACAGUUUCUUUCCCAUACAACAAGAUUGGCUUGAUAUGUUCAUAGUUAGACGACUUUUUGAUUUGAGAGACUUUACGUUUGAUAUAGUUCUUAUAACUUCUCCCAUGGUUCCUUUGCAGCAGAUAUUCCAUGAAUAUUUGCAAGAACAUUUUUAGCCAGUCAGAGACGUAUCAUGCUUGCAGCCUUCAAAUCCAAUUCUUCCCAAUCUUCAUCCCUUAUACUGGAUUCAGCUUUCUUGUCAGAACUCUUGGUUGGGUUUCCUUUCAAACCCUUGUACAGUCCAACUUGAACUAAUAAAUCCCUAACUUGUACUUACCACAAGCCAAAAUUGAUUCUCCCAUCAAAUUUCUCCACGUUAUAUUUCAGCAAUGGCAUAUUUUUCUAUUGAUCCAAUACUCUGAACCACCUGACGCUUUGAUACC